rnacentral:misc_RNA from 1 species
GCCUAUGGCCUAUAUAACAAAGCAAAAUUUUCUAAAUCAUUUGUAUCAUAUUAACAAAAUAUGAUAUCCCAAAGCCAAAAAAUAUGAUAUCCCAAAGCCAAAUAGAUGCAAAAUAACUUGCUUAUUCAUCAAUGCAAGGGUAACUAUAUCAACAAAACCGAAGCGAUAGAUGCAACUGUUGGAAUCAACCAGCCAUAGCCACCACCAAAAAUCGAAAUAGCUAUACUUUUGCUGUCAUCAGACACACUCGGAGGCGGAGAAGAUGUCUUGUUCGAUAGAUCAAAACCUAGCUGAGCACAAUCCAUUCCGAGAGCACAUUCUUUGUAGCAAGGGGAACCAGUUUGAUUGAAUAUAUUGUAGUAACCCUCUUGGCAAAUACAAGAAUAUGUGAAUGUAGAGGUCUUAUUGCACGAGCCUCCUCCACAAUCAGCCCAAUGACACGGUUCAAAGAACGAUGUAUUAGAGCGACUAUCAGGGGCUGGGGCAGGAGGAGCCUCUUUUCCACAGGAAAAAUUUACAGUACAAUUGGGAACUGCACAAGGUAGAAACUUGAAAAAAUUAUCAGUUUCAGAACUAGUUUGCUUCCAGCCAGAAUCACAUUCACACACGAAACCAAAAGUAGCAUUUGAAGCAGCUUUACAACUCCCUUUACCACAAUUCACUUCUUUACACACAUUAUCAAAAAUGGGGGAGAAGAUAGGAGGUAGAGCAUUGUUUGCAGAGGAAAAUAUUGGUAGAAGAAAAAGAAGAUUUAGAGUGAAAAUUGUAAUGAUAUGAGUUGAAGCCAUAGCUGAACUGAAAUCAAGAAUCAGCUGGAUUUUUUU